GUAGAAACGUUGCCCGUGUCUACGCAUGCAGUCGAGCGAUUUACUUCGGUAAAGAGCGGCGGACGGGUGAGUAACGCGUGGGUAACCUGCCCUGUACACACGGAUAACAUACCGAAAGGUAUGCUAAUACGAGAUAAUAUGUUUUUAUCGCAUGGUAGAAGUAUCAAAGCUUUUGCGGUACAGGAUGGACCCGCGUCUGAUUAGCUAGUUGGUAAGGUAACGGCUUACCAAGGCGACGAUCAGUAGCCGACCUGAGAGGGUGAUCGGCCACAUUGGAACUGAGACACGGUCCAAACUCCUACGGGAGGCAGCAGUGGGGAAUAUUGCACAAUGGGCGAAAGCCUGAUGCAGCAACGCCGCGUGAGCGAUGAAGGCCUUCGGGUCGUAAAGCUCUGUCCUCAAGGAAGAUAAUGACGGUACUUGAGGAGGAAGCCCCGGCUAACUAUGUGCCAGCAGCCGCGGUAAUACGUAGGGGGCUAGCGUUAUCCGGAAUUACUGGGCGUAAAGGGUGCGUAGGUGGUUUCUUAAGUCAGAGGUGAAAGGCUACGGCUCAACCGUAGUAAGCCUUUGAAACUGGGAAACUUGAGUACAGGAGAGGAGAGUGGAAUUCCUGGUGUAGCGGUGAAAUGCGUAGAUAUUAGGAGGAACACCAGUUGCGAAGGCGGCUCUCUGGACUGUAACUGACACUGAGGCACGAAAGCGUGGGGAGCAAACAGGAUUAGAUACCCUGGUAGUCCACGCCGUAAACGAUGAGUACUAGCUGUCGGAGGUUACCCCCUUCGGUGGCGCAGCUAACGCAUUAAGUACUCCGCCUGGGAAGUACGCUCGCAAGAGUG
rnacentral:rRNA from 1 species